GGCAUUAUUAAAACACCAACCGAAGCCUUAACCAACACUCUUUGGAUUUGUAAAAGCAUGUGGAGUGAACCAAAUGAUCUGAGCAUCAGAAAGUAAGCACGUUUUGAAAGUGUCUCAUUGAUGAACUCUGCUUCAGUCCACACAGUUAAACUUGGCCUUGUGUCUCAGUGAGACUCUAUAGAUGCACAGACGGAUGGACGCAGACAGACAGGACGACUGUUAGAACCACACAUAGCAACUUAGAUGGAAUGUCUCACUGCGAGACAUUCAAUAAGAUCUGUGAUCUAUGUCCAAAUAAUAGGGGGCCAGCUGUGUGUGUGUGUUUGUGUGUGUGUGUGUGUGUGUGUGUGUGUGUGUGUGUGUGUGUGUGUGUGUGUGUGUGUGUGUGUGUGUGUGUGUGUGUGUGUGUGUGUGUGUGUGUG
ensembl:lncRNA